GGGCCCGCACAAGCAGCGGAGCGUGUGGUUUAAUUCGAUGCGACGCGAAGAACCUUACCUGGGUUUGACAUGGAGCUGCACCACGGGUAAUGCCGUGUCCCUUCGGGGCGGUUCCACAGGUGCUGCAUGGCUGUCGUCAGCUCGUGCCGUGAGGUGUUGGGUUAAGUCCCCUAACGAGCGCAACCCCUGGGGUCCGUUGUAGGUUUCGGGCCCGACUGCCGCGCGCAACGCGGAGGAAGGUGGGGAUGACGUCAAGUCAGCACGGCCCUUACGUCCAGGGCGACACACACGCUACAAUGGCCGGUACAAUGGGUUGCCAAGCCGCGAGGCGGAGCCAAUCCCCCAAAGCCGGUCUCAGUUCGGAUGGUAGGCUGCAACUCGCCUGCCUGAAGCCGGAGUUGCUAGUAACCGUGGGUCAGCACACCACGGUGAAUACGUUCCCGGGCCUU
rnacentral:rRNA from 1 species